UAGGAUGCGAACCUGCCUCGGAUGUCAAAAAGGCAACUUGCCAUGAAAUCUGCUAAUGUGCCAUGGAUCACGGGGAUCCUUGGCGCAAACGCUGCUAUCAGUGAGGAACGCAUCGCCUGUUUUACUGAGACGUCUGAACGUCCAUUAGGAAAACACAAAUAUUCCUGUCAAGCCUGCUUGCCAGAAGUUCGGUGCCAUUACUCUAAUGAAUUGACCGUGUUUGUAGAUGGGCCUCGAGGAUAUCGUUUCUGAGGCAAAUAGUUUGUUUCUCAUACAUUCCGUACCGUUGAACCCAAUACCAAGAAAUACAAUGAAACCACACGUUUGAAUGACACGUACACACUUCCUAGGCACCGCUCUCCAGCUCCUCAGUUAAAAUGUUAGACCUUCCUGCCAUCGUACUUAAAUAGAGAGAAUUUAAGAUCUAAUGUCGAUUCAUUUGAUGUAAUAUGUUUGACUAUUUCUUUAAAACUAAAAGAAAAGCCUUUUACUGUGGGGAAGAAAUAUAAGGAGUCCCGGUUGUUGUUAUGGGCGGUGCAAUGCUCGGUGUUUCCAAAUGUUUACAAAAGUCAAAAUCAGGUUCUCUUUUCUUUACAUACAUUAGUGAACAAGGAUUUUGGACUCCUAAAGCAAACCCUAAUAGGUUAAUUUUCUUUAAAAGCAUUGUUUGUAUUCCUAUUACGAAAAUACAAUGUAGUGUUUUCUCAUAAAAGUUGAUGUUUUUUGAUGCAUGGGACAGACAGUCAAAUUAAAGUAGUUGGAUUCUGUAUUAAAUUAUUUUUAAUCUUCUGCGUUUUUAUGAAAAUAAAAGGCAGCACUUUGUCAUUUUUAACAAUGUAUGUAGCCAAUAAAUCUAAUUUCAACAUU